AGAGUUUGAUUCUGGCUCAGAACGAACGCUGGCAGCGUGGAUUAGGCAUGCAAGUCGAACGUGAAGCCGAUGAUCAAUCUUUCGGGAAAGUGAUUCGGUGGAAAGUGGCGGAAGGGUGAGUAACGCGUGGGUAAGCUACCUCGAAGUUGGGGACAACCAGAUGAAAAUCUAGCUAAUACCGAAUGUGGUCCUCUGGCACAUGCCAGGGUGACUAAAGGUGGGGAUCCUUUAUUGGACCUGCCGCUUUGAGAUGCGCCCGCGUGCCAUCAGCUUGUUGGUAGGGUAACGGCCUACCAAGGCUUACGGCUAGCCGGCCUGAGAGGGUGACCGGCCACACUGGGACUGAGACACUGCCCAGACUCCUACGGGAGGCUGCAGUCGAGGAUCAUUCGCAAUGCGCGAAAGCGUGACGAUGCGACGCUGCGUGGGGGAUGAAGGCCUUCGGGUCGUAAACUCCUGUCAUGAGGGAAAAGUAUCCCCGCAAUGAAUAGUUGUGGGGCUCGAUGGUACCUCAAGAGGAAGCCACGGCUAACUCUGUGCCAGCAGCCGCGGUAAUACAGAGGUGGCGAGCGUUGUUCGGAUUUACUGGGCGUAAAGGGUGCGUAGGUGGUUUUGUGUGUCGGAUGUGAAAGCCCAUGGCUCAACCGUGGAAUUGCAUUCGAAACUGCAGAACUAGAGUGCAGGAUGGGAGAGCGGAAUUCUUGGUAGCGGUGAAAUGCGUUGAUAUCAAGAAGAACACCGGUGGCGAAGGCGGCUCUCUGGAAUGCUACUGACACUGAGGCACGAAAGCUGGGGGAGCAAACAGGAUUAGAUACCCUGGUAGUCCCAGCCGUAAACGGUGCACACUUGGUGUGGGGAGAUUUAACCCUCUCCGUGCCGGAGCUAACGCGUUAAGUGUGCCGCCUGGGGAGUACGGCCGCAAGGCUAAAACUCAAAGAAAUUGACGGGGGCCCGCACAAGCGGAGGAGCAUGUGGCUUAAUUCGAUGCAACGCGAAGAACCUUACCAGGGCUUGACAUAUACCUGCAAACCCCGUGAAAGCGGGGAAUCCUUCGAGGGUGUAUACAGGUGCUGCAUGGCUGUCGUCAGUUCGUGCCGUGAGGUGUUGGGUUAAGUCCCGUAACGAACGCAACCCUUGUGACUAGUUGCCACCGGCGGUGAUGAGCCGCCGAGCACUCUAGUCAGACUGCCCGUACAAGCGGGAGGAAGGUGGGGAUGACGUCAAGUCAGUAUGGCCCUUACGCCCUGGGCUGCACACGUGCUACAAUGGUCGGUACAAUGGGAUGCAAUAUCGUGAGGUGGAGCAAAUCCAGAAAGCCGGCCUCAGUUCGGAUUGAAGUCUGCAACUCGACUUCAUGAAGU
rnacentral:rRNA from 1 species